UGCAGUCGAGCGGUAGCACAGAGAGCUUGCUUCCUCGGGUGACGAGCGGCGGACGGGUGAGUAAUGUCUGGGAAACUGCCUGAUGGAGGGGGAUAACUACUGGAAACGGUAGCUAAUACCGCAUAACGUCGCAAGACCAAAGUGGGGGACCUUCGGGCCUCAUGCCAUCAGAUGUGCCCAGAUGGGAUUAGCUAGUAGGUGGGGUAAUGGCUCACCUAGGCGACGAUCCCUAGCUGGUCUGAGAGGAUGACCAGCCACACUGGAACUGAGACACGGUCCAGACUCCUACGGGAGGCAGCAGUGGGGAAUAUUGCACAAUGGGCGCAAGCCUGAUGCAGCCAUGCCGCGUGUAUGAAGAAGGCCUUCGGGUUGUAAAGUACUUUCAGCGAGGAGGAAGGCAUUAAGGUUAAUAACCUUAGUGAUUGACGUUACUCGCAGAAGAAGCACCGGCUAACUCCGCGCCAGCCGCCGCGGUAAUACAGAAGGUGCAAUCGUUAAGCAGAAUUACUGGGCGUAAAACGCACGCAGGCGGUUUGCUCACACCGAUGAUCAAUCCCCACGAUCUAACUGCGAACUGUCAUUCUAACAGGCUCGAUUGAAUCCUGGAGACGGGGGAUUCCAAUUC
rnacentral:rRNA from 1 species